rnacentral:rRNA from 1 species
AAGCCUUGACAUUGAUUGAAUCCCGUAGAGAUACAGGAGUGCCAUUUCGGUGGAACAUGAAAAC